rnacentral:rRNA from 1 species
AGAGUUUGAUCAUGGCUCAGAAUCAACGCUGGCGGCGUGCCUCAGACAUGCAAGUCGAACGAGAACCUCCCUUCGGGGAGGGGACAGUGGCGCACGGGUGAGUAACACGUGGGUAAUUUACCUUUGGGUGGGGAACAACAGCCGGAAACGGCUGCUAAUACCGCAUAAUGCAGCGGCUCGACAUCGAGACAGUUGUUAAAGCGGGGGAUCGCAAGACCUCGCGCCUAAAGAGAAGCCCGCGGCAGAUUAGCUAGUUGGUAGGGUAAUGGCCUACCAAGGCAACGAUCUGUAACCGGCCUGAGAGGGCGGUCGGUCACACUGACACUGACAUACGGGUCAGACUCCUACGGGAGGCAGCAGUCGGGAAUUUUGGGCAAUGGGCGAAAGCCUGACCCAGCAACGCCGCGUGAAGGAUGAAGCUUUUCGGAGUGUAAACUUCACAAGAAUGGGAAGAAUAAGUGUGGGAUAAUACCCUUCACGAUGACGGUACCAUUUGUAAGCUCCGGCUAACUCCGUGCCAGCAGCCGCGGUAAUACGGGGGGAGCAAGCGUUGUUCGGAUUUACUGGGCGUAAAGGGCGCGUAGGCGGCGCGACAAGUCACUUGUGAAAUCUCUGAGCUCAACUCAGAACGGUCAAGUGAUACUGUCGUGCUAGAGUGCGGUAGGGGCAACUGGAAUUCUUGGUGUAGCGGUGAAAUGCGUAGAUAUCAAGAGGAACACCUGCGGCGAAGGCGGGUUGCUGGGCCGACACUGACGCUGAGGCGCGAAAGCUAGGGGAGCGAACGGGAUUAGAUACCCCUGUAGUCC